rnacentral:ncRNA from 1 species
CAGGCUCCGGUUCACGGUGCCCGCUUCGAGAGUCGGCCGAUCCGUCGGCGGCUCAGCGGCGAGCAGCGACCCGGCGGCC